rnacentral:rRNA from 1 species
CGAGGACGAACGCUGGCGGCGUGCCUAACACAUGCAAGUCGAACGGAGGUUUGCUUCGGUAGAACCUUAGUGGCGAACGGGUGAGUAACGCGUAGGCAACCUGCCCCCCGGAUUGGGACAACACCCCGAAAGGGGUGCUAAUACCGGAUACGAAGAUAAUACCGCAUGGUGUUAUUUUGAAAGAUGGCCUCUACAGGUAAGCUAUCGCCGGGGGAUGGGCCUGCGUCCGAUUAGCUGGUUGGUGGGGUAACGGCCUACCAAGGCGACGAUCGGUAGCCGGUCUGAGAGGAUGAACGGCCACAUUGGGACUGAGACACGGCCCAGACUCCUACGGGAGGCAGCAGUGGGGAAUCUUCCGCAAUGGGCGCAAGCCUGACGGAGCAACGCCGCGUGAGUGAGGAAGUUUUUUCCGGAACGUAAAGCUCUGUUGUACAUGACGAACGUGCGAUCUGUCAACAACGGAUGGCAGUGACGGUAGUGUACGAGGAAGCCACGGCUAACUACGUGCCAGCCGCGGC